GAUGAACGCUGGCGGCGUGCCUAAUACAUGCAAGUCGAGCGAACAGACGAGGAGCUUGCUCCUCUGACGUUAGCGGCGGACGGGUGAGUAACACGUGGAUAACCUACCUAUAAGACUGGGAUAACUUCGGGAAACCGGAGCUAAUACCGGAUAACAUGUUGAACCGCAUGGUUCAGCAGUGAAAGACGGUCUUGCUGUCACUUAUAGAUGGAUCCGCGCCGCAUUAGCUAGUUGGUAAGGUAACGGCUUACCAAGGCAACGAUGCGUAGCCGACCUGAGAGGGUGAUCGGCCACACUGGAACUGAGACACGGUCCAGACUCCUACGGGAGGCAGCAGUAGGGAAUCUUCCGCAAUGGGCGAAAUCCUGACGGAGCAACGCCGCGUGAGUGAAGAAGGUCUUCGGAUCGUAAAACUCUGUUAUUAGGGAAGAACAAAUGUGUAAGUAACUAUGCACGUCUUGACGGUACCUAAUCAGAAAGCCACGGCUAACUACGUG
rnacentral:rRNA from 1 species